GGCAAAUACUUCUCUCCCUAGACAAAAAAGCAAGAGGAUAGGGGGAAAAUAUGCCUUCUCUCUCUAACAUUGUACUAAUUCUUUUGCUUCUCCUCAGCCUUUCAUCGAACACCUUUUCCCAAAACGCCGGAAUUGAACAAUGUAGCUCGAAUCUCCUACCUUUGGCCCCGUGCGCGCCUUUUGUGCAAGGUGCUGCGCCUUUGCCGGCCCAGUCGUGUUGUGACAACCUUAAACAACUCUAUAUUCAGCAACCUAGUUGCCUUUGUCUGUUUCUCAAUGAGACAACUUUGAGUUCUUUUCCUAUUAAUACCACACUUGCUCUCCAGUUACCCCUUAUAUGCAACCUUCAAAUAAGCAUUUCUACUUGCACAGGUACGUCCAUUAGAAUCCCUUUUUCAUGAUGUGUUUGUUAUAGGCUCGACUGGACAAUAUUGAACAAGACUACUGAUGUAAAUGAGGUUAAUUUAAUGUUCUAUUAUCGAAAAUUGGGUAGAUAAUGUUUCACUAACCAGUGACUUUUUAUCUUUUAAGGCACACCCUUGCCUUCAACUCCACCUAUCUCAGGGCCAAAAACAAAUUCAACUGUUGCAGGUUUGCAUCUUCUCUUCUCAUCAUUCUAUUAUGCGGCAAUUUAUGCUCAAAG
rnacentral:lncRNA from 1 species